rnacentral:rRNA from 1 species
AUACGUAGGGGGCGAGCGUUGUCCGGAAUGAUUGGGCGUAAAGGGCGCGUAGGCGGCCCGGUAAGUCUGGAGUGAAAGUCCUGUUUUUAAGAUGGGAAUUGCUUUGGAUACUGUCGGGCUUGAGUGCAGGAGAGGUAAGUGGAAUUCCCAGUGUAGCGGUGAAAUGCGUAGAGAUUGGGAGGAACACCAGUGGCGAAGGCGACUUACUGGACUGUAACUGACGCUGAGGCGCGAAAGUGUGGGGAGCAAACAGGAUUAGAUACCCUGGUAGUCCACACUGUAAACGAUGGACACCCGCGGUUUGGCCUGUAUGGCUGAGCCGCCAAGCGGAAGCGUUAAGUGUCCCACCUGGGGAGUACGCCGGCAACGGUGAAACUCAAAUGAAUUGACGGGG